UUAUGGAGAGUUUGAUCCUGGCUCAGGAUGAACGCUGGCGGCGUGCCUAACACAUGCAAGUCGAACGGCAGCGAGGAGUGCUUGCACUCUGUCGGCGAGUGGCGAACGGCUGAGUAACGCGUAGGAACGUACCCCAAAGUGAGGGAUAAGCCCGAGAAAUCGGGUCUAAUACCGCAUAUGAUCUUCGGAUUAAAGCAUUUAUGCGCUUUGGGAACGGCCUGCGUCGGAUUAGGUUGUUGGUGAGGUAAUGGCUCACCAAGCCGACGAUCCGUAACUGGUCUGAGAGGAUGAUCAGUCAGACUGGAACUGAGACACGGUCCAGACUCCUACGGGAGGCAGCAGUGAGGAAUC
rnacentral:rRNA from 1 species